rnacentral:lncRNA from 1 species
AAAACCAAGCCCAAAUACUCGCAGCCCAAAACAGAGAAAAUCAACAGCAAACCCUAGAGACCAAACCCUAAACUCAGCCGACGCUCCUGCCUUCAGCACGCAUUGAGCCUCCGCGCCACGUCACCGUACGGCUCCGUACACCAGCUGGCCUCCGUACCUGCAAAGAAGACGAAAACAAGACAGCAAAACAACAACAACAAUAGGCCAGCAGAUAUAAAAAACGGAAGAAAUAAUAGAAAAAAAAGAGAGGAAAAAACCAUUUUUGUAAUAUUCGGCAAUAUAAAAGGCCGAUUGAUUCAUUCUUGUAAGGUUAUGCACACAGACACGAAAUCAAUACAAAAGAUCAAAAGUUUCUUGAAGGUUUUUUUCUGCUUUUUUCUUUUCUGUUCCAUCGAUGCAUGGUUAUUACUAUUGAUUUUUGUAAAUAGAGAGAAAAAGGGAAAGGAUUCACCUUAGCGUAGCGCCGAUUGAAACCUUGCUCGCUUCGUCGCAAUCGAAGCUUGGGCUAAAGCUGCGAGGCCAGAUAUUGGCGAAGCUUUCGGCGAUCUGCGAAAUGGGUUUC